UGUUAGGUUUCUCUUGUUUUUGUUACACGAACAAGGCGACGGACGGGCUGGGCGAUGAAGGAUUUCAUGGGCAGGUGAAAACCUUAGCCCUACACAGGACGGGGUGCAAGAAAUCCCCUCUCAGCUCCCGUCCCCAGCUCUCCUCGUCUCUCCCUCCACCGUCUGGGUUCCCGAUCUAGAGCGCGCGGUUCUGGCGUGCACCAAGCGGCUCCGGCGUGGGAUGCUAGAGAAUGGGAGUUCGAGGCCAUGGUCAGACGAGGGAGAUGGGUGGUGGGGUGGAUCUGGUGGUGAUGUUGGAGCUUGAGGUGGGGGUCUAUAUGGCCCCGGCUGCAUCCUCCUCGUGCCUCCUCAUGGCCUGGCCACGGCCCCGUCCUCCUCCGUGCCUCCUUUGUGCGCACCCCGCGCUGCAACCUGCUUAUUAUUUUGUUGGGCAAAAGAGUCUUACAGGCUGACAGAUUUCUUGCUUGGUCUCAAAUUCUCUGCUUCGGAUUUCUUUGGGAGGGAGGGCAUGAUGGAUGCGUGCUGUUUUGCAGGGCAACUCUUUCUGAUUCUUGGAGAUUUAAAUAUACCUUUGAGGCUUUCAUGAAGGGCAUGCCUCACGCAAGAUUUACUUGAAUACCCUCCAGGAGAUCAGGAAAAAUUAUGGCUGUUACCUAAUCAACAAUAUGUUUUUCCAUAGGCUGUCGAUUUGCUUUAUGCUUAAGCGGAGUUAACUGCAGCUCCUGUUUGUCAAUCGGUGCCAUCUCAGGUGUAUUCUUGCCCCUGCCGAUUAUAACCAUCUUCCUUCUACAUCUGCAUUUGCCUGCUAUUACUUGUUUAUUUAGCUCCAGGCCUGUGCUGGUGGAAAAUACAAAUCACUUAGAAAAGAUGUAAAGUGGAAGAACGAUACAACGCAGGGGAGAAAAAUACCUAGAUAACGAGCGUACAGUAUGUACAUAAUUACAUUCAGUUGUUCCUUCCCUUUUUAAUCUCUGUUCUAUACUCGCAAGAACAUCCAUUAAAAUUAAUCCUAUUAGGAAAGCCAUCUAGAACUAAUCAUUCGGUAACAUCUAGCUCUCUUUCUAGAUGGAGGUAAUUAUCUGAAUGUACUGUAUGCAAGUUCUUGUUUGUCCCUUCUCAGAUAGUUUUAGGGAAGAAUAAACUAUUACU